rnacentral:rRNA from 1 species
ACUCAAAGGAAUUGACGGGGACCCGCACAAGCGGAGGAUGAUGUGGUUUAAUGUGACGCUACGCGGAGAACCUUACCGAGGCUUGACAUCCUAGGGACCUGGUGGAAACACCGGGGUGCCUUCGGGAGCCUAGUGACAGGUGCUGCAUGGCCGUCGUCAGCUCGUGUCGUGAGAUGUUGGGUUAAGUCCCGCAACGAGCGCAACCCUUAUCGUAUGUUGUAUUUUUCAUGCGAGACUGCCCGGGCCAACCGGGAGGAAGGUGGGGAUGACGUCAGGUCGGCAUGGCCCUUACGCCUCGGGCUACACACGUCAUACAAUGGCCGGUACAACGCGCCGCGAAAUCGCGAGAUGGAGCUAAUCGCACCAAAACCGGUCCCAGUUCGGAUUGCAGGCUGCAACUCGCCUGCAUGAAGUCGGAUUCGCUAGUAAACGUGGGUCAGCACACCACGUUGAAUACGUUCCCGGGUCUUGUACACACCGCCCGU